CUCGGGGGGGUGGGAUCCUUCAGCCCAGAUUGCAAGAGGGUGCAGGCCAGGCUGAGGGAACCUACCGGUGCAUG
rnacentral:pre_miRNA from 1 species